GGAGUUAGCCGGUGCUUCUUCUGUGAGUGAUGUCCUUCCUGCCGGCUAUUAACCCGCAGGCCUUCUUCCUCACUGAAAGUGCUUUACAACCCGAAGGCCUUCUUCACACACGCGGCAUGGCUGGAUCAGGGUUUGCCCCCAUUGUCCAAUAUUCCCCACUGCUGCCUCCCGUAGGAGUCUGGGCCGUGUCUCAGUCCCAGUGUGGCUGAUCAUCCUCUCAGACCAGCUACGGAUCGUCGCCUUGGUGAGCCGUUACCUCACCAACCAGCUAAUCCGACAUAGGCUCAUCCGAUAGCGCGAGGCCCGAAGGUCCCCCGNUUUCCCCCGUAGGGCGUAUGCGGUAUUAGCCUGGGUUUCCCCAGGUUAUCCCCCACUACCGGGCAGAUUCCUAUGCAUUACUCACCCGUCCGCCGCUCGCCACCAGGGAGCAAGCUCCCCGUGCUGCCGCUCGACUUGCAUGUGUUAGGCCUGCCGCCAGCGUUCAAUCUGAACCAAGAUCAAAUUCUGA
rnacentral:rRNA from 1 species